rnacentral:lncRNA from 1 species
GGUUAAGCAUGAAUUAGGGGCUUAAACAGGAGGUUUAGGACUGAUUUGUAAUAAACUAGGGACCUAUUUGUAAAUAAUUUUGGAGGUGGAGGGGCUUAUCCGCGAAUAGGAUUAUGAGAGUGGUGGAAGGACUUAUUGGUAAUUUGGGAAAAGGUGGGGGUCGGAUCCAAAAUCCGGUUCAUUUUAUCCCUUUCUCCAGGAACU